rnacentral:rRNA from 1 species
CUACGGGUCGCUCCAGUGAGGAAUAUUGCACAAUGGGGGGAACCCUGAUGCAGCAACGCCGCGUGGAGGAUGACGCAUUUCGGUGUGUAAACUCCUUUUAUAUGUCAAGAAAAUGACGGUAGCAUAUGAAUAAGCACCGGCUAACUCCGUGGCCAGCAGCCGCGGUAAUACGGAGGGUGCAAGCGUUACUCGGAAUCACUGGGCGUAAAGGACGCGUAGGCGGGUUGGAAAGUCAGGUGUGAAAUCCUACAGCUUAACUGUAGAACUGCACUUGAAACUUCUAAUCUAGAGUAUGGGAGGGGGAGAUGGAAUUAGUGGUGUAGGGGUAAAAUCCGUAGAUAUCACUAGGAAUACCUAAAGCGAAGGCGAUCUCCUGGAACAUUACUGACGCUAAGGCGUGAAAGCGUGGGGAGCAAACAGGAUUAGAUACCCGGGUAGUC